rnacentral:rRNA from 1 species
UGAAUACGAGACGCUAAGGCGUUGAAGUAGUGUAUGUCAUACUUCCAAGAAAAGCUUGCACUGUCAUAGAUAAAAAACGCCUGUACCAUAACCGACACAGGUGGGUAGGUAGAGUAUACUAAGGGGCGCGAGAUAACUCUCUCUAAGGAACUCGGCAAAAUAACUCCGUAACUUCGGGAGAAGGAGUGCCUUAUUUAUAAGGCUGCAAUAACAAGAUCCAAGCAACUGUUUAUCAAAAACACAGGUCUCCGCUAAGUCGUAAGACGAUGUAUGGGGGCUGACGCCUGCCCAGUGCCAGAAGGUUAAAGAAGUUGGUUAGCAAUAGCGAAGCUGAUAACUGAAGCCCUGGUGAACGGCGGCCGUAACAAUAACGGUCCUAAGGUAGCGAAAUUCCUUGUCGGGUAAGUUCCGACCCGCACGAAAGGCGUAAUGAUUUGGAUACUGUCUCGGAGAGGGGCUCGGUGAAAUAGACUUGUCUGUGAAGAUGCGGACUACCUGCACCAGGACAGAAAGACCCUAUGAAGCUUUACUGUAACUUGAAAUUGAAAUUGGACUUUAUUCGCGCAGUAUAGGUGGGAGGCGUUGAUUGUAAUCUUGCGGGAUUAUUGGAGCCAUCAGUGAGAUACCACCCUUGUAAUGUUAGAUUUCUAACUUUGAAUCAUUAUCUGGUCAAAGAACAGUUUCAGGCGGGCAGUUUGACUGGGGCGGUCGCCUCCUAAACGGUAACGGAGGCGUACAAAGGUUUCCUCUGAACGGUUAGAAAUCGUAUCUAGAGUGUAAAGGCAUAAGGAAGCUUGACUGUGAGACCUACAAGUCGAGCAGGGACGAAAGUCGGUCUUAGUGAUCUGACGGUACUGAGUGGAAAGGCCGUCACUCAACGGAUAAAAGUUACUCUAAGGAUAACAGGCUGAUCUCCCCCAAGAGUUCACAUCGACGGGGAGGUUUGGCACCUCGAUGUCGGCUCAUCGCAUCCUGGGGCGGUAGUACGUCCCAAGGGUUGGGCUGUUCGCCCAUGAAAGCGGUACGCGAGCUGGGUUCAGAACGUCGUGAGACAGUUCGGUCCAUAUCCGGUGUAGGCGUUAGAAUAUUGAGAGGAGCCUUCUUUAGUACGAGAGGACCGAGAAGGACAUACCUCUGGUGUACCAGUUAUCGUGCCAACGGUAAACGCUGGGUAGCUAUGUAUGGAGUGGAUAACCGCUGAAAGCAUCUAAGUGGGAAGCCCACCUCAAGAUAAGUAUUCUUACC